rnacentral:tRNA from 1 species
GCGGGCGUGGCGGAAUGGCAGACGCGCCAGACUUAGGAUCUGGUGCCGAGAGGCGUAAGAGUUCGAGUCUCUUCGUCCGCACCA